rnacentral:rRNA from 1 species
AAGGGUAAAAUUGAGUUGCUGUUUAUGUAUUGUUUAUUUUAAUUGAAGCUAGGAAAAUCUGGUUAUAAACUAGGAUUAGAUACCCUAUUAUUCUAGAAGGAAACCUGAGAGACUCAAUUAGUAAAAGAUAUAUACUUAAAAAUUAAAAAAUUUGGCGGUGAUUUAAUCUUUUCAGAGGAAUUUGUUUCUUAAUCGAUAAACCACGAAAAAUCUUACCUAAGUUUGUAUACCAUCAUUAUCAGGUAAUUCUUAGAGGAUAAAAUUACUAGGUAUAAAUGAUUAUGGAAAUUAGAUCAUGGUGCAGCUAAUAAGUAGGUUGAAAUGAAUUACAAUAAAUUGUUUUAUAACGAAUUAGUAACUAUGAAGGAGGAUUUGAUUGUAUGUAAGUUUAAUAAGCUUACAGGACAUAAGCUCUAAAUCAUGUACAUAUCGCCCGUCGCUUUC